UCGAGGAUCUUCCGCAAUGGGCGAAAGCCUGACGGAGCGACACCGCGUACAGGAUGAAGGCCUUCGGGUUGUAAACUGUUGUCACGCUAUAGGAACCCCUUGGUGUUAAUAGCGCCAAGGCUGACUAAAGCGAGAGGAAGCAACGGCUAACUCUGUGCCAGCAGCCGCGGUAAGACAGAGGGUGCAAGCGUUGCUCGGAAUCAUUGGGCGUAAAGGGUGCGUAGGCGGUCUCUUAAGUCUGACGUGAAAGUCCAGGGCCCACCCUUGGAAGUGCGCCAGAAACUGGAAGACUAGAGUACCGGAGGGGAGAGUGGAAUUCCUGGUGUAGCGGUGAAAUGCGUAGAUAUCAGGAGGAAUACCGGUGGCGAAAGCGACUCUCUGGACGGUAACUGACGCUGAGGCACGAAAGCGUGGGGAGCAAACAGGAUUAGAUACCCUCGUAGUCCCUGAGCGGGCUGGCAAGGCGCAU
rnacentral:rRNA from 1 species